GACGAACGCUGGCGGCGUGCUUAACACAUGCAAGUCGAACGGAAAGGCCCUGCUUUUGUGGGGUGCUCGAGUGGCGAACGGGUGAGUAACACGUGAGUAACCUGCCCUUGACUUUGGGAUAACUUCAGGAAACUGGGGCUAAUACCGGAUAGGAGCUCCUGCUGCACGGUGGGGGUUGGAAAGUUUCGGCGGUUGGGGAUGGACUCGCGGCUUAUCAGCUUGUUGGUGGGGUAGUGGCUUACCAAGGCUUUGACGGGUAGCCGGCCUGGGAGGGUGACCGGCCACAUUGCGACUGCGGUACGGCGCAGACUCCUACGGGAGGCAGCGGUGGGGAAUAUUGCACAAUAGGCGGAAGCCUGAUGCAGCAGCGCCGCGUGCGGGAUGACGGGCUUCGGGUUGUAAACCGCUUUCGCCUGUGACGAAGCGGGAGUGACGGUAAUGAGUAAGGAAGCACCGGCUAACUACGUG
rnacentral:rRNA from 1 species